rnacentral:rRNA from 1 species
GAUGAACGCUGGCGGCGUGCCUAAUACAUGCAAGUCGAGCGAACGGACGAGGAGCUUGCUCCUCUGACGUUAGCGGCGGACGGGUGAGUAACACGUGGAUAACCUACCUAUAAGACUGGGAUAACUUCGGGAAACCGGAGCUAAUACCGGAUAAUAUAUUGAACCGCAUGGUUCAAUAGUGAAAGACGGUCUUGCUGUCACUUAUAGAUGGAUCCGCGCUGCAUUAGCUAGUUGGUAAGGUAACGGCUUACCAAGGCAACGAUGCGUAGCCGACCUGAGAGGGUGAUCGGCCACACUGGAACUGAGACACGGUCCAGACUCCUACGGGAGGCAGCAGUAGGGAAUCUUCCGCAAUGGGCGAAAGCCUGACGGAGCAACGCCGCGUGAGUGAUGAAGGUCUUCGGAUCGUAAAACUCUGUUAUUAGGGAAGAACAAAUGUGUAAGUAACUAUGCACGUCUUGACGGUACCUAAUCAGAAAGCCACGGCUAACUACGUG